AGUGAACGCUGGCGGCGUGCCUAAUACAUGCAAGUCGAACGAAGUGGCGCACGGGUGAGUAAUAUAUAGUUAAUCUGCCCUACACAGAGGGACAACAGUUGGAAACAACUGCUAAUACCUCAUAGUGUAGUAUGAGGCUAUAUCGUAUCAGCUAGUUGGUAAGGUCAUGGCUUACCAAGGCUAUGACGCGUAACUGGUCUGAGAGGAUGAUCAGUCACAUUGGAAGUGAGAAACGGUCCAAACGCCUACGGGAGGGAGGAGUAAGGAAUAUUGCGCAAUGGGGGGAACCCUGACGCAGCUACGCCGGGUGGAGGAUGAUACUUGGCGGAGCGUAAACUCUUUGUAUCAGGAAAGCGGUACCGGAUGAAUAAGCACCGGCUAACUCCGUGCCAGCAGCCGCGGUAAUAC
rnacentral:rRNA from 1 species